rnacentral:rRNA from 1 species
GGCUGGCGGGUGCUUACCAUGCAGUCGACGGUGAAGCCAAGCUUGCUUGGUGGAUCAGUGGCGAACGGGUGAGUAACACGUGAGCAACCUGCCCUGAACUCUGGGAUAAGCGCUGGAAACGGCGUCUAAUACUGGAUAUGAGCUGCGGAGGCAUCUUCGUGGUUGGAAAGAUUUUUCGGUUUGGGAUGGGCUCGCGGCCUAUCAGCUUGUUGGUGAGGUAAUGGCUCACCAAGGCGUCGACGGGUAGCCGGCCUGAGAGGGUGACCGGCCACACUGGGACUGAGACACGGCCCAGACUCCUACGGGAGGCAGCAGUGGGGAAUAUUGCACAAUGGGCGGAAGCCUGAUGCAGCAACGCCGCGUGAGGGAUGACGGCCUUCGGGUUGUAAACCUCUUUUAGCAGGGAAGAAGCGAAAGUGACGGUACCUGCAGAAAAAGCGCCGGCUAACUACGUGCCAGCAGCCGCGGUAAUACGUAGGGCGCAAGCGUUAUCCGGAAUUAUUGGGCGUAAAGAGCUCGUAGGCGGUUUGUCGCGUCUGCUGUGAAAUCUGGAGGCUCAACCUCSRGCCUGCAGUGGGUACGGGCAGACUAGAGUGCGGUAGGGGAGAUUGGAAUUCCUGGUGUAGCGGUGGAAUGCGCAGAUAUCAGGAGGAACACCGAUGGCGAAGGCAGAUCUCUGGGCCGUAACUGACGCUGAGGAGCGAAAGGGUGGGGAGCAAACAGGCUUAGAUACCCUGGUAGUCCACCCCGUAAACGUUGGGAACUAGUUGUGGGGUCCAUUCCACGGAUUCCGUGACGCAGCUAACGCAUUAAGUUCCCCGCCUGGGGAGUACGGCCGCAAGGCUAAAACUCAAAGGAAUUGACGGGGACCCGCACAAGCGGCGGAGCAUGCGGAUUAAUUCGAUGCAACGCGAAGAACCUUACCAAGGCUUGACAUACACGAGAACGCUGCAGAAAUGUAGAACUCUUUGGACACUCGUGAACAGGUGGUGCAUGGUUGUCGUCAGCUCGUGUCGUGAGAUGUUGGGUUAAGUCCCGCAACGAGCGCAACCCUCGUUCUAUGUUGCCAGCACGUAAUGGUGGGAACUCAUGGGAUACUGCCGGGGUCAACUCGGAGGAAGGUGGGGAUGACGUCAAAUCAUCAUGCCCCUUAUGUCUUGGGCUUCACGCAUGCUACAAUGGCCGGUACAAAGGGCUGCAAUACCGCGAGGUGGAGCGAAUCCCAAAAAGCCGGUCCCAGUUCGGAUUGAGGUCUGCAACUCGACCUCAUGAAGUCGGAGUCGCUAGUAAUCGCAGAUCAGCAACGCUGCGGUGAAUACGUUCCCGGGUCUUGUACACACCGCCCGUCAAGUCAUGAAAGUCGGUAACACCUGAAGCCGGUGGCCCAACCCUUGUGGAGGAGCCGUCGAAGUGAUCGUA